CACUCCAGUGGUCCAGUGGUUAAAAUGUCCGCCUCAGAUGUAGGAGGUCACAGGUUUGAACCCCGACUGAGUCA